GACGAACGCUGGCGGCGUGCUUAACACAUGCAAGUCGAACGGUGAAGCGCCUCCCUUUUUGGUGGGUGUGGAUGAGCGGCGAACGGGUGAGUAACACGUGAGUAACCUGCCCCCUUCUUCUGGAUAACCGCAUGAAAGUGUGUCUAAUACGGGAUAUUCUGCGUCUGUCGCAUGAUGGGUCUGGGUAGGAUAUUGUUUCGGUGGGGGAUGGGCUCGCGGCCUAUCGGCUUGUUGGGGGGGUGAUGGCCUACCAAGGCGGGGACGGGUAGCCGGCCUGGGAGGGUGGACGGCCUCACUGGGACUCAGACACGGCCGAGACUCAGACACGAGCAAGAAGUCGGGAGUAUCGCACAAUGGGCGAAAGCCUGAUGUGGCGACGCCGCGGAAGGAGCAGAGGCCCUCGCGGGAUGAAGCUCUUUCGCUGGUAAAGCGCGCCCGCCUCGUAUGUGGGUGGGUUGACGGUAGCUGGAAAAGAAGCGCCGGCUAACUACGUG
rnacentral:rRNA from 1 species